UACGGAGGGUGCGAGCGUUGUCCGGAAUCACUGGGCGUAAAGGGCGCGUAGGUGGCGCGGGAAGUCAACGGUGAAAGUUCGGGGCUCAACCCUGAAUCGGCCGUCGAUACUCCCGGGCUCGAGCACUGUAGAGGCAGAUGGAAUUCCGGGUGUAGCGGUGGAAUGCGUAGAGAUCCGGAAGAACACCGGUGGCGAAGGCGGUCUGCUGGGCAGUUGCUGACACUGAGGCGUGACAGCGUGGGGAGCAAACAGG
rnacentral:rRNA from 1 species